CCUACGGGUGGCAGCAGUGAGGAAUAUUGGUCAAUGGACGAGAGUCUGAACCAGCCAAGUAGCGUGAAGGAUGACUGCCCUAUGGGUUGUAAACUUCUUUUAUAUGGGAAUAAAAUGUUCCACGUGUGGGAUUUUGUAUGUACCAUAUGAAUAAGGAUCGGCUAACUCCGUGCCAGCAGCCGCGGUAAUACGGAGGAUCCGACCGUUAUCCGGAUUUAUUGGGUUUAAAGGGAGCGUAGGUGGAUUGUUAAGUCAGUUGUGAAAGUUUGCGGCUCAACCGUAAAAUUGCAGUUGAAACUGGCAGUCUUGAGUACAGGAGAGGUGGGCGGAAUUCGUGGUGUAGCGGUGAAAUGCUUAGAUAUCACGAAGAACUCCGAUUGCGAAGGCAGUUCACUGGACUGCAACUGACACUGAGGCUCGAAAGUGUGGGUAUCAAACAGGAUUAGAUACCCUAGUAGUC
rnacentral:rRNA from 1 species